rnacentral:rRNA from 1 species
CACGUAGGGGCCAAGCGUUGUCCGGAUUUAUUGGGCGUAAAGAGCUCGUAGGCGGUUCGACAAGUCGGGUGUGAAAACUCCGGGCUCAACCCGGAGACGCCACCCGAUACUGUCGUGACUGGAGUCCGGUAGGGGAGUGGGGAAUUCCUGGUGUAGCGGUGAAAUGCGCAGAUAUCAGGAGGAACACCAGUGGCGAAGGCGGUGAUCUGGGCCAGUACUGACGCUGAGGAGCGAAAGCGUGGGGAGCAAACAGG